rnacentral:rRNA from 1 species
AGUUCGGAUCGGAGUCUGCAACCCGACUCCGUGAAGCUGGAUUCGCUAGUAAUCGCGCAUCAGCCAUGGCGCGGUGAAUACGUUCCCGGGCCUUGUACACACCGCCCGUCAAGCCAUGGGAGCCGGGAGCGCUUGAAGUGCGUCGCCGCGAGGCGCGCCCUAGAGCGAGACCGGUGACUGGGGCUAAGUCGUAACAAGGUACC